CUCUUGAUCUCUCCUUCUCUUUAAGAAUUCCUUUUUCUUUAGUAAUUCACCCCUAAAUCCUACAAAGCUCUGCCCGUUUUAUGUAUUGUAACCCCUGAUCACUGAAUCGAUACCCUGUCCGAUUGAUUUAGGACCCACCAACGCUUGUCAAGGCUCUGCCCGACUAAGUACGUCGGGGUUCUGUCUCGUGACAUAUUGAUAAAGUUGAUUGGGUUACUAUACUUAACAAAAGUGCAUUACAUAUAUUUUUAAAUAGUUCAGAAGUUAUACCCAAAAUAUAACAACUCUCCUAAAAUCCUUACAAACACCCCUAUACAUCUUAAAAUACACCCGUAUAUGCAAACGACCCCGGAAUACCUUUGUUUCAUUAAAAACCAAAUAAAACAAGAAAUGGGAGGCUCUCGCGGGGUGCGACUCCCUUAAGGUAAGCCGUCGCGGGCCGCGACCCAGUACCACUAGGCGGCAUCCCAGCCCGCCACGUGGCAUAACACUCGGCAACCCUACACUUGUGACUCGCCAACCCUAUAGCCUACCCUACAUCCCUCGCGGGCCGCGAAGGCCAUUAGUGUAUCUCUCGCGGGGCGUGAGAACCUCCUGGAUCAGCUAUAAAAGGAACAGAAAGCAGCCAUUUCAAUCGUUCAACUUUCUUAUUUCCUCUCAAAUUCUAAUAGGCUAAAACUAUAGCCGAACACCCCCUAAUUAGCGAAGCUCUGCCUCGUUAUUAUAACCAGGAAGUCACAAAGGAAAAACCUAAAGUAGCAAUGUAACUUAGUGUGAAGCCAAUAAAAGCCAGCUGGAGAGCACUGAAGGCUUAGAAAAGUGUCCAUAAAAGUUACCUAACUAAAAAGGAGAAUUCUUUUCAAUAAUUAUGGUUAUUACCUAUAAAAAGUACUAAAAUGAAAAUCGGGUUUUAUCCCAGUAUUCUAUUUUAAAGAUUUUGGUGUUUAAGUCUGAUAAAAAUAUUUCCUAACUACGGUCCUGACGAAAAUUUCCGCUGCCAAAUUAAUAAACACAGAUACCAUCUGACUGGUUCGCGGCUCCCGCUCCCAGGGUGGGGUCGGGGGAUGUGACAUUUUGUACUUAUGUUUUUUUAUGUAUUAUUGCUUUCAUUAGAUGAAUAAGUGCCAGGGUUCAGAUUUUGAUUUUGUGUGAUACUCAUACAUUUAUACAAGUUGGUUAGCUUCUAUAGUUUAUGAAAUGUAAUAACUAAAAACAUAAGAUAUACAAGUAUGCAUAUAUGUAGUAUUUACUUUACUAAUAAGUAUAUGAUGUUACUUAUCCUUGCAGAUAUGUAGGAUGAACUUCAAGAGCAUGCAAAAUCUAUUGAUAUGGCUAAUGGUUAGCUUUUCUCUUCAGGCAAGGAAGAUGCAAGUGGUAGGUCUAAGCAAAGCAGAAGUUAGAAAAAAAAGGCGGAAGGCUAAGUUAAAGCUUGGAAUGAAGCCCAUUCUUGGAGUUAGUCAUGUUACCAGGAAAAAGAGCAUGAAUAUGUUUGUAAGUCUCUUGCUUUAGACACAUAUAUGUAAUGUUUGGACGUUUGGUGAAGCGAAAAUAGAGGAUCUGAAUUCACAGUUGCAGAGUCGGGCAGCAAAGCAUUUCAAGGCACCUAACCUUAGUAACGUUCCCCAGAGCCAACAACCAUGACUCAAUGUGAUGAUGAUGUAGAUGAGACUCGGGUAGAGGCCAAUGAAAUUGAGUUGGUUGUGACCCAAGCUGGAGUCUCAAUAUAAAAUGCGUCCAAGGCUUUAAAGGAUGCAAAUGGUGACAUUGUAUAUGCAAUUUUGAAACUCACAACUUAAAAGUGAUCGACUCACUGUCAUAAUUUUUGUUUUAGUUUUUUUUUUUUGAAGGAAAACAUAUCGUUCAAAGAAAUAAAUUUCUAAUUUUCGUUUUAA